rnacentral:lncRNA from 1 species
GCCUGUGGCCGUGUGGGGUGUGGGGAGGACGUGGUGGGGUGUCCCGGAGCCCUAGGGAGGGGGUCGUGUGCGUGUGUGUGUAUACGUGUGCCCCUUGAGCCCGCUUGUGCCUGCAUGUGUGUGUGCGGGCAUGUGUGUGUGUGUGUGCGUGCGUGUGUGUGCAUGGGUGCAUGAGCUCUGCCUGCGCUGCUGGCUGGCUGCCUGGAGUCAGGACUGAGCCACUGGGGAAACCCGUGGGCGGCUGGAUGCAGGCGGCUCUGGGCAGCUUUCUUGGCCAGUCCUGCAGCCGCCCGAGGCCCUGCUGGGCGGGUCGGGGUGGAAAGGAGUCUGGAGUCCGCAGAAGCCUCCUCCUUUCCUGGCUUCACCUGCUCCUCCUGGUGUCUCUCCGUGGAGUCGGCGGGGAGGAGCCGCGGAAGCCGGGGCAGCCGUGACUGCACCAGGAAGAACAGCUCAGGCGUGGGCACGUGGGCUGUGAGCCCAGCCGAGAUCGCUGCCAGCACAGAGGUCCAAUCCACCCCGCGUCAGGGCCUGGACCAUGGGCCUGAGGUGUGGGUGGGGGAGAUGCCAAGACCAGAAGGAGGUGAGCGAGCAUCCAGGCCCUGCUUGUCCUGUGUCCACUCCGGGCAGAGUGGCCGGGGCAGAGACCAGACCACGCUCUGGGCUGGCUCUCUGAAGAUGCCCGGUGACCUGGUUCCAGCUCCCCAAAGCCAUCUUGUCAGGAAUGCUGGUAGCCCUGAGGGCACAGGGGCUGUGGGCCUGGGUUGUGUCAGCCAUGAGCACUGAUGGGCCAGCACCUGGGCCCGGAGAGCCCACCCUGGGGACAAGGACCAUGCCAGCUGCUGUUUGAGGCUGUGCCUAUGGAGCAGGCUGGGGUCCUGGUGUUCACGGUGCAGCUGCCCAGAAAGCGGGGGGCUGAGGGGCCGAGCUGAGCCUAUGGGGGCUUGUAGGACAGGCCAAGGGGGGGCAGGGGCGGGGCCAUGCACCCCAAUCGUCACCACCCCCCCCCGUGGGGUUUGUAAAAUUUCCACAGCCCUCUGCUCUCUCUGACCAAACCUGCCCUCGGAGUGGGGAGUGGGCGGGGCUGGGUGGGUGCUUCACACACCUUUAGGGCUGGGCUCUGGAUUGGGUGGCCCUCCCUGGGUCCCGGCUCACGGAGGGGCGGCUGCCUCCCCUGGGAUGAGGGUGAGGCUCUGGGGACGCUAGGGGUCUCUGGCAUCCUCUCGUCCUUCUCUUUUCUGGGUCUCCCGACACAGGGUCCUCGUCCCCAGGGUCGAGGAGGGUGGGACAUGUUGGACGUGUGAGAGUCCAGAGCCAGCCCUGGAAUCGAUUCAUUUAUUUUUACUUUAAAGCUUACAUAACGCUUACUCAUCCAGGCAUCGUUCUAAACGCUUCGCCAACCUUAACUCGGGGCACUGUCGUGACAGCCUGUGCUGCGUUCACUAUCAGUAUCCCCCACACACAGGCUGAGGGACCCAGGCCAGAGGCCCUGCUCCCUGUCCAGUCUCACGCAUAAAGUAAGCUGCUGAGCUGCGGACAGAAGCUGAGAUUGCCUUGUUCCAUGAUGCUGUAAAGAUGCUGCUCUGUGCCGGGUGCUGGUCCCCAGCGUUGCCUCCGCUCAGCACCCAGCAGCCCCACAAGGGUGUCAACAGAGCAUCAGGAGGCACUGACCCCAGAGCCCCUCCACGUCCCCGGGAACGGCCGGCCCCCCGUCGCCGCCGAGGGCCCUCGACCAGGAUGGACAGCCAGGGGAAGGCUGCUUGUCUCCACGCCUCUCCGACGGCUCUUCUUCCGGCCCCUCCAGCCCAGGUGGAAUCCUUGAAGCUGGAGUCAGGACUGCCGGGCUUGCGGAGACGUGGGCUCCCCAGGAAGUGCUGAGCCCAUGAUCAGAGCUGCACCCCCACAAGAAGUCACCAUGUGGAUCCCCAGAGGGGAUACUCCGGAAGUGCUUCCAUUCGGCCACCAGCAGCUGUGAUGUCCCCUGACCGUGCAUCCUGGGUCCCAGGGGAUGGUGGGUAGGGGAGCCAGGCGAGGAAGUGAGUCACAGCCCUGUGGGGUGAGCUCCCCGAGGGGAAGGGAUUGCGUAGAGUACUUGGGGGAAUUUGUGAGCCUUCAAGCUGGCCUCUGCUGCGACAGGGGCCAGCAGCCUCGUCCGCUCUGUAGUCCACUCCGGCUGCUCCCUGUAGCCAGGGGUGCGGCAUGGCAGGAACAGGCCACAGGGCAAGGGAGGAGUGUGGUGGGCUCAGAAGGCUCUGGGGAGAGGGUGCCUUGCUCCUGGUGCUGAAAGGACAGCGCCCGGCUUGGGCAGAGGCCGCGCCAAGUCCUGGCGGAAGCUUUUCCGCAAACUGGAGUGGGGCGUCAUGUGCAUCUGAAUUUUUCCACUCCUCUUCUCUGGAGCCUGUCAGUGCCGUCUUGGCAAAGAUGGUUUGAGCCUGAAAGCUUUUCCCAUCUAUUUUUAAAUAAAUGGAAUUCCUGUCACUUGCAU